rnacentral:rRNA from 1 species
GACGAACGCUGGCGGCGUGCUUAACACAUGCAAGUCGAACGGUGAAGCGCCUUCCUUUUUGGUGGGUGUGGAUGAGUGGCGAACGGGUGAGUAACACGUGAGUAACCUGCCCCCUUCUUCUGGAUAACCGCAUGAAAGUGUGGCUAAUACGGGAUAUUCUGGGUCUGUCGCAUGAUGGGUCUGGGAAAGAUAUUGUUUCGGUGGGGGAUGGGCUCGCGGCCUAUCAGCUUGUUGGUGGGGUGAUGGCCUACCAAGGCGGUGACGGGUAGCCGGCCUGGGAGGGUGGACGGCCAGAGUGGGAGUGAGACACGGCCGAGACUCCGACGGGAGGCAGCAGUGGGGAAUAGUGCACAGUGGGCGCAAGCCUGAUGCAGCGACGCCGCGUGAGGGAUGGAGGCCUGCGGGUUGUGAACCUCUUUCGGCAGUGAAGCAGGCCUGCCUCGUUUGUGGGUGGGUUGACGGUAGCUGGAUAAGAAGCGCCGGCUAACUACGUG